GACGAACGCUGGCGGCGUGCCUAAUACAUGCAAGUAGAACGCUGAAGGAGGAGCUUGCUUCUCUGGAUGAGUUGCGAACGGGUGAGUAACGCGUAGGUAACCUGCCUGGUAGCGGGGGAUAACUAUUGGAAACGAUAGCUAAUACCGCAUAAUAGUAGAUGUUGCAUGACAUUUGCUUAAAAGGUGCAAUUGCAUCACUACCAGAUGGACCUGCGUUGUAUUAGCUAGUUGGUGGGGUAACGGCUCACCAAGGCGACGAUACAUAGCCGACCUGAGAGGGUGAUCGGCCACACUGGGACUGAGACACGGCCCAGACUCCUACGGGAGGCAGCAGUAGGGAAUCUUCGGCAAUGGACGGAAGUCUGACCGAGCAACGCCGCGUGAGUGAAGAAGGUUUUCGGAUCGUAAAGCUCGGUUGUAAGAGAAGAACGAGUGUGAGAGUGGAAAGUUCACACUGUGACGGUAUCUUAACAGAAAGGGACGGCUAACUACGUG
rnacentral:rRNA from 1 species